rnacentral:rRNA from 1 species
AACCAUCCUCUUGCCCCCCUGAACAAGCCCGAUUCCGUCUGAUCUCGGAAGCUAAGCAGGGUCGGGCCUGGUUAGUACUUGGAUGAGAGACCACCUCGGAAGACCAGGUGCUGUAGGCA